rnacentral:rRNA from 1 species
GUAACACGUAGUCAACAUGCCCAGGGGACGUGGAUAACCUCGGGAAACUGAGGAUAAACCGCGAUAGGUCAUUACUUCUGGAAUGGGUAAUGACUCAAACCUAUAUGGCCCCUGGAUUGGGCUGCGGCCGAUCAGGCUGUUGGUGAGGUAAUGGCCCACCAAACCUGUAACCGGUACGGGCUCUGAGAGGAGGAGCCCGGAGAUGGGCACUGAGACAAGGGCCCAGGCCCUAUGGGGCGCAGCAGGCGCGAAACCUCUGCAAUAGGCGAAAGCCUGACAGGGUUACUCUGAGUGAUUUCCGUUAAGGAGAUCUUUUGGCACCUCUAAAAAUGGUGCAGAAUAAGGGGUGGGCAAGUCUGGUGUCAGCCGCCGCGGUAAUACCAGCACCCCGAGUGGUCGGGACGUUUAUUGGGCCUAAAGCAUCCGUAGCCGGUUCUACAAGUCUUCCGUUAAAUCCAGCUGCUUAACAGAUGGGCCGCGGAAGAUACUAUAGAGCU